rnacentral:rRNA from 1 species
UGGGGAAUAUUGCACAAUGGGCGCAAGCCUGAUGCAGCAACGCCGCGUGAGGGAUGACGGCCUUCGGGUUGUAAACCUCUUUUAGUAGGGAAGAAGCGGAGCUUGCUCCGUGACGGUACCUGCAGCAAAAGCACCGGCAAACUACCUUCCAGCAGCCGCGGUAAUACGUAGGGUGCAAGCGGUGUCCGGAAUUAUUGGGCGUAAAGAGCUCGUAGGCGGUUUGUCGCGUCUGCUGUGAAAACUGGGGGCUCAACCCCCAGACUGCAGUGGGUACGGGCAGACUAGAGUGCGGUAGGGGAGAUUGGAAUUCCUGGUGUAGCGGUGGAAUGCGCAGAUAUCAGGAGGAACACCGAUGGCGAAGGCAGAUCUCUGGGCCGUAACUGACGCUGAGGAGCGAAAGCAUGGGGAGCGAAC